rnacentral:lncRNA from 1 species
AAAGUGGUUUGAACCCCACAGCCAUGGCACUAGCGAGCAGGGUCAUCAGAGCUGCUCCAUUCUUCUGGAAGCUGCAGAGAAAGGGAGCCCGGAAACCUGGUAUGCCGGCAAAAAGGGCUGGAGUGCAAUGACACGAUCUUGGCUGACUGCAACCUCUGCCUCCCGGGUUCAAGCAAUUCUCCUGCCUCAGCCUCCUGAGCAGAUGGGAUUACAGUUUAUAAUCAGGUAUAAGUCUCUUGGGGAAUCUGACCUCAUACCUCAUCUAUGCAGUUCCUGUACAAGGUUCCUGACCUGUGCAGGAAGACGCCAGAGCGAUCCGCAGUCUUUUCCCAUCUUCAUAGGCUAACCUCAAGAUUAAGGUGUUAUAAAACACAAAGGGAGGGAUUGAAACUACCUUUGCAAAAUUAUGACUGAGACAGUGAAAGAAAUCUAACUUGAUCGACUCCAUCUUGCUUCUAACCUGCAAGCUGUCCUUGUCCAUUCUUGGACCGAGGCUGAAUUAACUUUGGGAGGAACUUAGUUUAUAGUUUAAAUCAAAGACGGUAACAGCCCUUUCCCAAAGCAGACCUCCUUCUUGCCUGAAGACUAAAUUGCCUUUGUAGGGCUAACAAUAACCACGAGAUAAGAAAUCAUGGUGGAGGAGUCAUGUAGCUGGAGGGUACAAGAUUCUGACCCUCCCUAAACUGCUCCUAAGAUUAGUGCUUGAGCUAUUUUGCCGACCCUGCACUUGAUAGAUCAGCUGACACCACCCAGAUGGAUAAACUGGCUCAUCUGACUUGCGGCCCCCACCCAGGAUCUGACUCGGUGAAAGAAGACAGCUUUGACUCCCUGUGAUUUCACCCCUGACCAAUCAGCGCUCCCAGCUCACUGGCUUCCCCCGCACCCACCAAGUUUUCCUUAAAAAUUCUGCUCACCAAAUGCUCAGGAACAUUGAUUUGGGUAAUAACACAAUUCCGGUCGCUUGCAAAAUUAAAAAAAAA